rnacentral:rRNA from 1 species
UAGCCUACGGGGCGCAGCAGUGAGGAAUAUUGGUCAAUGGGCGGAAGCCUGAACCAGCCAAGUCGCGUGAGGGAAUAAGGCCCUACGGGUCGUAAACCUCUUUUGCCGGGGAGCAAGGGCCGGGACGCGUCCCGGCCCGGAGAGUACCCGGAGAAAAAGCAUCGGCUAACUCCGUGCCAGCAGCCGCGGUAAUACGGAGGAUGCGAGCGUUAUCCGGAUUUAUUGGGUUUAAAGGGUGCGUAGGCGGGCUUUUAAGUCAUCGGUAAAAAUUCUGUGCUCAACCCCGUCCGGCCGUUGUAACUGGG